GCAUACAUUUGCAUGCGCACAAAGCUACACACACAAAGUUUAUAUCCAUGGAGUCCCACUGUGCACACACACACACACACACACACAGACAUGCACAACUUAUAUCCAUAGAAUCCCACACUGCUAAUGGUUACUACAAGCUUCACUCUGUUGAUCUACGUGCAUGUGGAUGGAGUGUGAUUUUUGGAGUAGCGGACACCUUUUGGUAACAUGAUAUCCUCCCCAGUCCCACUCCCACUCCCAGUCCCACUCCAAGUCCCAGUCCCAGUCCAAGUCCCAGUCCCAGUCCAAGUCCCAGUCCCACUCCAAGUCCCAGUCCCACUCCCACUACCAGUCCCACUCCAAGUCCUAGUCCCAGUCCCACUCCAAGUCCAAGUCCCAGUCCCACUCCCAGUCCCACUCCAAGUCCCAAUCCCAGUCCCACUCCAAGUCCCAGUCCCACUCCAAGUCCCAAUCCCAGUCCCAGUCCCAGUCCCACUCCAAGUCCCAAUCCCAGUCCCACUCCAAGUCCCAAUCCCAGUCCCAGUCCCACUCCAAGUCCCAAUCCCAGUCCCAGUCCCAGUCCCAGUCCCACUCCAAGUCCCAGUCCCAGUCCCACUCCAAGUCCCAAUCCCAGUCCCAGUCCCAGUCCCAGUCCAAGUCCCAAUCCCACUCCAAGUCCCAGUCCCAGUCCCAGUCCCACUCCAAGUCCCAGUCCCAGUCCCACUCCAAGUCCCAAUCCCAGUCCCAGUCCCAGUCCAAGUCCCAAUCCCAGUCCCAGUCCCAGUCCCACUCCAAGUCCCAGUCCCAGUCCCAGUCCCACUCCAGUCCCAGUCCCAGUCCCAGUCCCAGUCCCAGUCCCAGUCCCAGUCCCAGUCCCACUCCAAGUCCCAGUCCCAGUCCCAGUCCCAGUCCCACUCCAAGUCCCAGUCCCAGUCCCACUCCAAGUCCCAGUCCCAGUCCCAGUCCCAGUCCCACUCCAAGUCCCAAUCCCAGUCCCAGUCCCAGUCCCAGUCCCAGUCCCAUUCACAAGAGGGCGU
rnacentral:lncRNA from 1 species